rnacentral:lncRNA from 1 species
GUUAAAUUUCUUUGUAUUCUCCAUAUUGUUGAAUUAAUAAACAUUGUCUUUUGCCAUUAAUCCUUGCUAAAUUGCUUUGUAUUCUCCAUAUUGUUGAAUUAGUAAACAUCGUCCUUUGCCAUUAAUCCUUUGUUUUUUUCUUUACUUCUAAACCUUGUUUUUCGGUGUGUGAUCUAGUAUACUUCAAUAUUGUCAUUACAAUUUCGUUCUCUACAAUCCAGUUUGGAAUCAACGUGUGUUAUUGAAGUUUUCGCGCCCUAACAACUGGUAUCAGAGCGAGGCUAUUGAUUUUUCUAUGGAUUGGUUGAGAUUUUUUCCAAGAUGGCUGGGUUGAAGUAUGAUAUUCCGCAAUUAGAUCGCAAUACAAUGUUCUCGUUGUGGCAAGUCAAGAUGAGGGCUGUUCUGGCGCAGUUGGAUUUGGAAGAUUCGUUGCUGGGUUUUGAGAGGAUGCCAGCUAGAUGGACAACGGAGGAGAAACAAAGGAAGGAUCGAAAGGCUACGUCAUUGAUUUAUCUUCAUCUGUCCAACAACAUUCUGUAAGAUGUCUUGAAGGAGAAAUCGGUGGUUGCUUUAUGGUUGAGGUUGGAACAUUUGUGUAUGACUAAGAGUCUUACAAGUAAACUGGCUCUUAAGCAGAAGUUAUAUUCCCAUCACAUGGUGGAAGGAGAGUCGUUGGAAGUCCAUAUUACCAUGUUUAAGGAAAUAGUUGUAGAUUUGGAGACGUUAAAGGUUAAGUACGAUGAAGAGGAUCUUGUCUUGAUUCUGUUGUGCUCACUACCUGGGUCUUAUGUGUCGUUUCAAGAUACUAUCUUUUAUAGUUGAGAUAUUUUGACUAUAGAAAAUGUCUACGAUACUUUACACUCAAAUGAGAAGAUGAAGCAUUUGGUUGGAGUUACAUCAAGGGAUGAGAAAGUGAUGAGUGAUUUACACUCAUUAUAUUAUGUCAUUAAUUUCAUGAUUUUACUAUCUUGGAGAGUAUUUUAGAAGUGCUAACAAGUGAUUUUGGUGUUGUUUUGUAGAUUGGUGGAAGUGGAGAAAACAAGAGCUAAAAGAGGCCAAAGGAAGGGAAUAGGCAAAAGUUAGCAAAAUUUGAUGAAAUGACCAAAAUGUAAGAGAUCCAAAGUUCGAGGAUUAAAAUGCAAUUAAUCAAAAGUCGUAUCAAAACUCAUGAUGAAGAUCCGAGAGUGCUAGGAGUCAAUUGGAUGAAGGAAGGUGUCAAAGGGAUCAAAUUUAGUCAAAAUAUGAUCACAAAUUAUUUUCCAACCGAAAAGUUACGCUCUGGAGUUUUGGUCUCACAUUGAGACCUAUUUCUGACAUAGCAAACCAUCGAAUUGGGAGAUGAUGUUUGAAGAAAAGUUAUAUUCCUUUGAGUUACCUUUCCAACGCAUCUUGAAUCAUUUCAAUCGGACAUCGGAUGAAGAAGUUAUGGCAAAAAUACUGAAAGAGGUGAACAUUACCUUUUCCACCCGAAGUGGGUGCCAUGUGUUGAAAACAACAGUGAACGUGAUGCCGUGGCGCUGCCUGUGCGGAAAAAUGGGAUUUUAUAUUUUUGGAAUCUUUUCUUGGCCCAACUCAACCCUAAUUCGUCCAAUAACCCCAACAUACUAUAAAUACCAUAAAAAAACCCUAUUUUCAAAGGAGGAUGGAAGGGGGCAAGAUUGAAGAAUUCAACCAUACAAUUUGAAAGAGGCAAAAAUUGAAGACAUCAAAAGGAAGGAGGAACAACAUCAAGGAAGAAAAUUGAAGAUCUACCCAAAAGACUAGUUUUUUCUAUUCUUUUCCUAAUGUUGUUUAUUAUAAUUUGUAUGAUUUUCAUUUAUUACACCAUGAAUUAAACAAUUUAUCUAGGGG